rnacentral:rRNA from 1 species
GCUUUAUCACUAACUAUUAUUAAUCCCAUUAUUUAUACACAACCCGCAACCGCUACUGAAUGAUCCCAUACCCUAUGGGAGACAUUAUGCUAGAACUAGUAACAAGAAGAAGACCUUCUCCAAAAUGUAAAUGUAAGCCAAAAUGAACAACUCACCGGCACCUACCGCCUCAAACCUGCAGUAUCACCACCGCCCCCAAGAAAACCAUACUACACCUGACGUUAACCUUACACCAGAACAUUCCCGGAAAGAUUAAAAAGAGAGGAAGGAACUCGGCAAAUAUUAGCCCCGCCUGUUUACCAAAAACAUCGCCUCUUGAUAACUAUAAGAGGUCCAGCCUGCCCAGUGACUAAAAGUUAAACGGCCGCGGUACCCUAACCGUGCAAAGGUAGCACAAUCACUUGUUCUUUAAAUCAGGACUAGUAUGAACGGCCCCACGAGAGCUAUACUGUCUCCCCCCCUUAAUCAGUGAAACUGAUCUCCCCGUGAAGAAGCGGGGAUAUUCAUAUAAGACGAGAAGACCCCAUGGAGCUUUAAACUUGUACCACUGCCCUAAACCACAUCAAUCAACCGGGCAAAUAAUGGCUACUAGUCUUUCGGCUGGGGCGACCACGGAGAAAAACUAAACCUCCACGAUGAAAGGAACACCCUAAUUAAAGAGCUACAGCUCUAAAAAUCAACAAAUUGACAUAAUUGACCCAAACACCUUGAUCAACGAACCAAGUUACCCUGGGGAUAACAGCGCAAUCCAUUUCAAGAGACCCCAUCGACAAAUGGGCUUACGACCUCGAUGUUGGAUCAGGGUAUCCCAGUGGUGCAGCCGCUACUAAAGGUUCGUUUGUUCAACGAUUAAAACCCUACGU